CCCAGACUCCUACGGGAGGCAGCAGUGGGGAAUAUUGCACAAUGGGGGAACCCUGAUGCAGCGACGCCGCGUGGGUGAAGAAGUCAUUCGUGACGUAAAGCCCUAUCAGCAGGGAAGAAAAUGACGGUACCUGGCUAAGAAGCCCCGGCUAACUACGUGCCAGCAGCCGCGGUAAUACGUAGGGGGCAAGCGUUAUCCGGAUUUACUGGGUGUAAAGGGAGCGUAGACGGCGGCGCAAGUCCGGAGUGAAAGCCCACGGCCCAACCGUGGGACUGCUCUUGGAACUGCAUGGCUGGAGUACAGGAGGGGCAGGCGGAAUUCCUAGUGUAGCGGUGAAAUGCGUAGAUAUUAGGAGGAACACCGGUGGCGAAGGCGGCCUGCUGGACUGUGACUGACGUUGAGGCCCGAAGGCGUGGGGAGCAAACAGGAUUAGAUACCCUCGUAAC
rnacentral:rRNA from 1 species